CGGUGACCCGGACACAGGUCACCUGGACAUCUGUGUUCCCUGCUGGACUGCACAACCAGAAGGAUGCCUGAUGACCUCCUGCUCGCCAGUUUACAGAAACCUCGUUCCAGCCACAGCUUUGAAGCAGAACUCAAAGCCGCAGUGAUGUUGAUGUCCCUGAGGAUGAGCACAAGGAAUGCUGCUGCAGGACAGGACCCACGCUGCUCAUGGCACCCGGCACAGUGCAUCCUCUGCCUGGGUCCUGCUUCCUUCUCAACACCAGGGCAAUUUUUUAACUGUUGCUAAAGAGUUGUUGCCAUAGAAAGAUGCCUAGAGGUCCUAUUUAUCAAAUUCAAGAGACCUAAACUGAUUGAGCUGUUGUUGAGAAGUUUGUUCAGUCUUUUUGGUAUUACUCCACAUCAAACUGCCAAACCUUUAACAGUUUAUUCCUCAGUGUUGAUCAGCUCAGUUGGAACCACUAGGACACUUGUGACGCUGAAGCUCCCAUUGGGCUUUAUAAAAUGGCUGGAACACUAAACCCCAUUAACUUGCUCUGUGGUUGGCUUGAAGGCGUAAUUAACUUUUCAGUAACAAUCUUACCUGCUUGUAACAUGUAAACCCAAUGUGAGAAGGAAAUGCUUGUGAAUGGGGCCUCAUGCAUGUACCUGUGAGGCUGUAAUGCUACCGUGGCACAUUGAGAUCCGCUUACUCAGCAUGGAGGUGACAGCAGAUCGCAGUGCUACAGCAAGAGUCUGAGGAAAACUUCACUGACUUGCAAGAAGGUCUGAAUUUCUCCACGUCUUAUUUUAAGUGCCUGAAUUAGGCAUAUAUGUGCCUUAGGCUCCUGGCAAGAGCUGCUAUAGGUUACAAUCUCUUUCCACUUACUGAGAUUAGGGUGUGUUUCCAGAUGAGAGUUCUCAACUCUGCAGAAGGUACCCAUGCUGCAGUCUUGCAUCUGCAAGCCAGAUUUGCUUGCAGUCAUGGUGAUUAACAGAAUUGCCAGAAUUAGAUGAAUUUUUAAAGUAAUAAAUUGUUUAAACUAGUAAGAGAACAGUUUUGUGUUCUUGCUCCGAUGAAUAUUGAAACACUGGAUAAAUCAUGGAACUUUAUGACCAGGAAAGAUUCCUUCCCAAAGUUUCCACAGCUCAGGAGUGAAAAUGUUCUUCCAAGGCGUUUUGAAAUUCACUUCAAACCUCUGCUCAGGUUGCUGUGAUGUCUAUGUUGCAUAUCCAAGUAAGCCCUAAGCUUUGGGUGACUGGGCAUGCAGGGACAAUGCUUAUCAACCACCCUAAAGCAAAAUGUAAUUUUUCAGUGAAAAAGAAAUUGUUUGGAGCCUUGGUUCAAAUUAAACUUCUUGUUCAACUAGAAAAUAACAACAACAAUAACAAAAAACCCCCACCAUUUAAUCUUCAUUGAAUGGGCUGGAAAAUUUCAGCUUGAGUCUGCACUUGGUAAGCUUAAGAAAAAAGGUAUGAAGGAAGAGAAGGACAGCCAGAUCUGCUGUACCUAAACAACUCCAUUUAGUGUUGUUUAUACCUGACACAAAUUGACUUGUUAUCUGUGAGGACUCUUUGGGAACCUUCUACAGUCCCUAUAGAAUAAAUCCUCUUCCCUGGUUAUGUGUAAAAGCAUUUUCUACUGUUUUAAAAUGCCUAAAUCCUACUUCUCUGCCUUUUUAAUAAGGGAGCUACAGAUCGGCUCCUCAAAAGGACUGGUGCAUGUAGCAGCAAAUACAUGGCAUGAAACUAGAGAUUCACUCUAAAUCUGCAGGACACCUGGAACCCAGUUGAGCUUUGCUCACUGCAUUUGUUGGAAUACAUGAUUUAUAGAGAUAAUCCUCAGACAUUUCAAGCUGAGCCGAAGACAGACAAAUUUCCAGCCCAUGCCAUCAAUUCCCUUCAUCUGGAACAGGUGCCAAGCUUACAAAAUCUUCCUGCAAUGUGGUAGACACCACGGUAUGCUUCAUUAGCAACCAACCAAGCAACUUGCCAUCUCUAGCUCACAGGCAUUGAAAACAAUCUGGAGAUCAGAGACUCAAACCUGGGAAGCAAAGAAGGAAAAGUUUCAAAGGCAGCUGGACUCCCCCAGGAGGGGAUUUAGGCAGACAAUGCUGGACUCUGUAAAACCUGCUCUCAGACCCUGUUAUACUCACUCAUUUGAGUGAACGCAGCUGCCUGUCGUCUCUAAUUCAGGGGUACAAUGCUGUGGCUAGAAGUGCUAGGCAUGGUCAUGGCAGUCCUAUUAAAAACAACAUAUAAUAAAUCGCCAAAUGCCAUUUACCCUGGAUAACCCUCUUAGCUGAAACUAUCCGUACGUACUAAAGUUGCUUGUGCAUCAGUCGACUUUGAUGUAUCCUUUUGCUCUUUCAGCCCAGAUGUUGUCAUAGAUUUGCUGAUGAUGACUGCAAAAAAAAAAACCAAAAAACAAACACAGAACUUUUAAAUGCUCUCUGGCAAGAAACACUUUCCAAUCCUGUCUCAGAUGGGGUCUGGUUUCCCCUCAGAACAUUUUUAUUACUGAGACCAUUCAGAUGAAUAAAAGGGCCUUGUUCAUUUAGCAAUUUCUCUGCUGAUUUUUUAUUUUUCGUAUUUUAAGUUAAAUGACAGCAGCAGCAGUUCAACAGACAAAGUAAGUCUCAGACACUGUAAUGACAGCAGAAUUGCCUGGGCACCACUGCUCUCAGCUGCAAACACGGGUGGCACAGAAGUAAGAGCUCCAGGAAUACCCUCUCUGUCUGUUUUAAGGCCCAGAAAAAGGUUCAGAAGUGGAGCAGUGAGGGCAGCCCGCCUCCUGCAUGGUGUGUGGUUGUGAGGCUCUGCACAGCUGUUGUGCUCAGUGCUGUGCUCAGCUGUGGGCCCCUCACUGCCACACACACAUGGGGGCCUGGAGCGUGUCCAGAAUGGGGCAACGGGGCUGUGAGGGGUCUGAGCACAGUGGGGACUGAUGGGGAGCAGCUGAGGGAACUGGGAUGGUUCAGUCUGGAGAAGAUGAGGCUCAGGGGAGACCUUGUUGCUGUCCGCAACUCCCUGAAGGAGGCUGUGUGAGGUGGGGAUCGGCCUCUGCUCCCCAGUAACUGUGAUAGAAUGAGAGGUGAUGGCUUUAAGUUGUGCAAGGAGAGGUUCAGGUUGGAAAUAAGGAAGAAUUUAUUCUCAGAAAGAGAGGUGAUGCAGUGGCACAGACUGCCCAGGGAGGUGUUGGAGACGCCGUCCCUGGAGGCGUUGAAUUACGGCACUUUGGGCCGUGGCUUGCUCAGCGCGGCUCUCCCGCUGCACUCCGUGACCUCGGCGCUCUCUUCUAAUCUCAAUGACCCCGAGCUAACGUGCCCCCUCAACGCUUUAACGCGGCGGUCCGGCAGGAG